CUGAGGCAGGGGAGGUUUAGGCUGGAUAUCUGGAGGAGGUUCUUCACAGAGAGGGUGGUUGCACACUGGAACAGGCUCCCCAGGGAAGUAGUCACUGCACCGAGCCUGUCUGAAUUUAAGAAGCGACUGGGCUGUGCACUUAGUGACAUGGUCUAAAAUUCUGGGUAGACCUGUGCGGUGCCAGGAGUUGGACUUGAUGAUCCUUAUGGGUCCCUUCCAACUCAGGGUAUCCUAUGAUUCUAUGAUUCUUUGACUGUGCUUCCCCUCACUGAAUUCUGGACAAAUCAAUACUCUAAGUAGCACCAAGCACUGGAUCACUGAUCUGAACUGAAAGCAUAAAUAGUGAAACAAAUGAAUACAAAAGUACCAUCAGUUUUGUAAGGCAAGAAUAGUGGUGCCUUGUUCUGUGAGCUCUCUCGUCCCCAGAAUUACAAGACUGCCAUACCAUGAGCUCAGCGUGUUACGACAAGGAGACAUUUCUCUUCCUGCACCAGCCCCAGCUGCUGUGCCCGAGGAGCAACCACAGUCCUGGCUUUUGCUACAGCUGUCACCUCUGCAGCUCCUUGCAAGCUGCUGAGCCUAAGGCGAAACAGCUGGGCUGGGCUGAGCACCGGGCAGCUCCCUGGCACACUGCCAUGGCUGUGUCCCCUUCCCUGGCCUGACUCUACUCUUUUUUGUGAAC